UUUGAGCUUUCGCAGAGGAUUGCAAAGGGCAAAGGGUGAGGGGAGAGGGAACAAACACCGGCAGGGCUCUCGAGGAGGGGGCAGCCAGUGUGUGCGUGCUGUGAAGGGGACUUCACGGUGGAGCUGCUAAUUAAAUAAGAAAGGCUCGUCUCCAUGCUUGUUAGGUUAACUCAGCAGGGAUAUUGCAAAAGCAAAUUCUUCCCAGCAAGUGUAAUUAGGGGGCCGGAAUUCCUCUGGUUCCUUGUCCUCCCUUCGAAUCCUGCUAAAGCCAUCAGGGUGGAAAAUACACAUUCAACAAAACAGGCCCUGUCUCCGGGCUGGGUCGUAGGGCUGCUUCCCCCAGGACUGCAUGCUCACGUUGAAGAUGGAAAGAGGACUGUGAGGGGUCUGGGCAGGGCACCGGCAGCUCCCAGCCCACAGGAUUUGGGAGGUGUCCGCUCACAGCACGGUUGUCCUGGAUGGUGCUGCUGACCCGCUUCAUCUCCCUUGCCCACAGCUCCACCCCAGCACAGCGGGACAUCUCAGGGUUUGCCUGGCACUUUGUGGCAUGUGUUGCUGUGCUUGUGCCAGUGCUGCCUGUGCAGGCAAAGGAGGAUGCUCGUGGGAGACAACACAUGAAGAUGUGCCCUGCCUGGCACUAGGGGACACCAGGACUGCAGCUGGGGUUUCCCUCCAGCUGUGUGGAAAUAUGCUUAAGGCUGGUCCAUGUAAAGGGCCUGCUAGGGCUGGUCCCUAGCCCUUGGCAGCCCUGGGCAUGCCACCUCCCUGCCUGGCAUCUGCCACCACCCUUUCUCCAUGGCAAAGCCUCUGAUGGAGGAAUUUCAUCCUCCAUCUCCUACCCAGCCUGGUCCAGCACCAUCCUUGUCUCAUACCUUGUGUACCUUUAUCUUGUGUAGGGUUUUACCUUUUUUGUCCCGUUUCCCUGCUGAACCCAAGCAUCUGCCAGUGGGAGUUCAACAUCUCUCUGUUCCAUGUCGGUGUGAAUGACCAGAAUCAAGAAAUUUGACCAAAAUGAACAUUUUGGAUGUUGUUUUUAUCUGUCUGCUGGGUUUUGGAGAGAGAGAGAGAGGGUUUUUGUUCCCCGUUGUAAUUCCAAGUGCUAAAAUUGCCCGUGUUUUUAGGUCAAAAAUAUGGAUCACAACCAAACCAAUGUUCUCCUGACUCUAGCAGCUGAGAUUUAAGAAAAACACCAAAACCAGGCAAAUGAGCUCUCUGGCCAUGAGCUGGAAGCCAUGUGAGCUGGCAAAAGGUAGCUGAGAGAGGACUUGUGCCCCAAGCGAAUUGUGGA